rnacentral:rRNA from 1 species
UACGGAGGGUGCAAGCGUUAUCCGGAUUCACUGGGUUUAAAGGGUGCGUAGGCGGGUAAGUAAGUCCGUGGUGAAAUCUCUGAGCUUAACUCAGAAACUGCCGUGGAUACUAUUUGCCUUGAAUAUUGUGGAGGUGAGCGGAAUAUGUCAUGUAGCGGUGAAAUGCUUAGAUAUGACAUAGAACACCAAUUGCGAAGGCAGCUCACUACACAAUCAUUGACGCUGAGGCACGAAAGCGUGGGGAGCGAACAGG